AUUUGGAUCUCUUUGGCGUUAUACGUCAAGGAGCUGCAAAGACACAGGGAUGCACAACGUCAGUUCAACAGAGACAGAAGGACGGCCCAACACGCACGAUCUCGGGCAGCCACACCAUGUUCGACGGCAGGCGCAGCAUCUUGAUGCCGUCGAACUCGCUCGUGUUCCACGUCAGCCGGUAGUCUAUCCACGUCUGACGCGCGCGCACA